AUUGAACGCUACGGCAGGCUUGACACAUGCAAGUCGAGCGAGCGGCGGACGGGUGGGUAAUGCUUAGGAAUCUGCCUAGUAGUGGGGGAAAACAUCUCGAAAGGGAUGCUAAUACCGCAUACUGAUAGCUGAACUUAAGUCGGAUUCGCUAGUUGGUGGGGUAAAGGCCUACCAAGGCGACGAUCGGUCGCUGGGCUGAGAGGAUGAUCCGCCACACUGGGACUGAGACACGCAGAUGAGUCCUACGGGAGGCAGCAGUGGGGAUGACUCGGAAAUGGGGGGACCCUGGGCCCAGCCACGGAGAGUGAGCUAAGAAGGCCGUAUGGUUGUAAAGCACUUGAAGCGAGGAGGCGUUAGUCGCAGAAUAAGCACCGGCUAACCCUGUGCCAGCAGCCGCGGUAAUAC
rnacentral:rRNA from 1 species